rnacentral:rRNA from 1 species
AACGCGAAGAACCUUACCAGGUCUUGACAUCCUCUGAACACCUAAGAGAUUAGGUUUUCCCCUUCGGGGGACAGAGUGACAGGUGGUGCAUGGUUGUCGUCAGCUCGUGUCGUGAGAUGUUGGGUUAAGUCCCGCAACGAGCGCAACCCUUGACCUUAGUUGCCAGCAUUCAGUUGGGCACUCUAGGGUGACUGCCGGUGACAAACCGGAGGAAGGUGGGGAUGACGUCAAAUCAUCAUGCCCCUUAUGACCUGGGCUACACACGUGCUACAAUGGAUGGCACAAAGGGCAGCGAGACCGCGAGGUUAAGCAAAUCCCAUAAAGCCAUUCUCAGUUCGGAUUGCAGGCUGCAACUCGCCUGCAUGAAGCCGGAAUUGCUAGUAAUCGCGGAUCAGCAUGCCGCGGUGAAUACGUUCCCGGGCCUUGUACACACCG